UCCAGGGUAGCCUAGUGGACAUGGCAUCUGCCCGGUAAGCGGAACACUGUUGGGUUCGAUUCCCAUCCCUGGAC